rnacentral:ncRNA from 1 species
GCGAUCCAUAGGCGGGAAAAAGCAGCAGCGAAGUUGUGACCUGACGGACAGAAACGCGAUAUCAAAGCAGCUUGGAUGGCCAAGCUGGCGAAAAGCAGUAAAGUCCAAGUAGGAAAACUUAAACCCGAAUUGUAAAUCGUGCAGGCAAACAAUGAAAGAG